CAGUGCGGUCCGGAGUUGAUGGGUUAUCAUUGAAGAGGAAGGCCCCCAUUGACACCAACUUGACCGGUGCU
rfam:Caenorhabditis remanei strain PB4641 contig195.3, whole genome shotgun sequence.